UCCCCGUUGGCCGGGGCAGUCUCGCCUGAAAAAUACAACAGACGACAAGGGUUGCGCUCGUUGCGGGACUUAACCCAACAUCUCACGACACGAGCUGACGACGGCCAUGCAGCACCUGUCACCAGGUUCCCGAAGGCACUCCCCAAUUUCUUGGGGAUUCCUGGGAUGUCAAGCCUUGGUAAGGUUCUUCGCGUAUCUUCGAAUUAAACCACAUGCUCCACCGCUUGUGCGGGUCCCCGUCAAUUCCUUUGAGUUUUAGCCUUGCGGCCGUACUCCCCAGGCGGGACACUUAACGCGUUAGCUUCCCAACACAGAGGGUCGAUACUCCAUGCUGGUAGUGUCCAUCGUUUACGGCGUGGACUAC
rnacentral:misc_RNA from 1 species